GAUGAACGCUGGCGGCGUGCUUAACACAUGCAAGUCGAACGAUGAAGCCCAGCUUGCUGGGUGGAUUAGUGGCGAACGGGUGAGUAACACGUGAGUAACCUGCCCUUAACUCUGGGUUAAGCCUGGGAAACUGGGUCUAAUACCGGCUAGGAGCGUCCACCGCCUGGUUGGUGUUGGAAAGAUUUAUCGGUUUUGGAUGGACUCGCGGCCUAUCAGCUUGUUGGUGAGGUAAUGGCUAACUAACGCGAUGACGGGUAGCCGGCCUGUGAGGGUGACCGGCCACACUGGGACUGAGACACGGCCCAGACUCCUACGGUAGGCAACAGUGGGGAAUAUUGCGCAAUGGGCGCAAGCCUGAUGCAGCGACGCCGCGUGAGUGAUGACGGCCUUCGGGUGGUAAACCUCUUUCAGUAGGGAAGAAGCGAAAGUGACGGUACCUGCAGAAGAAGCACCGGCUAACUACGUG
rnacentral:rRNA from 1 species